rnacentral:lncRNA from 1 species
AUGGCACGGACAUUUAUAUUGGCCUGUUUAAUAACAAGUUUGACGAUAAACAAGUUAAAAGCAAUAACAAAAUAUGCAAAAAGAUUCUAACCAAAACAAUACCAGGCCAUUCUUAUAAGAUGAGCAUAAUUUUCUAACCUUAGCCAAUGCGUUGAAAAGGGUGGCACUAACUCCAGGAGUGCUUGCCAUUUUCUGGCCAACAGCAGCCAAAAUGCUACAAUUUGGGAUAACAGCAACCUGAGAGAAAGACGCCCAUUAUCCAAAGCUUGACGAAACCUUGAUUGCAAUGCCUCAGCUACAGCUUUUACUUCCUUCUCGGGCACAGCAAAGC